ensembl:snRNA U6 U6 spliceosomal RNA
AGGCUCACUUUGUCAGCACAUAUACAAAAAUUGAAAUGACACAGAAAGAUUAGCAUGGCCCUUGCACAACGAUGAUGCACAAAUUGUAAAGUAUCCCUUAAUUGUG